UACGUAGGGGGCAAGCGUUGUCCGGAUUUAUUGGGCGUAAAGAGCGUGUAGGCGGCCAGGUAGGUCCGUUGUGAAAACUGGAGGCUUAACCUCCAGCUGUCGAUGGAAACCAUCUGGCUAGAGUCCGGAAGAGGAGAGUGGAAUUCCCAGUGUAGAGGUGAAAUUCGUAGAUAUUGGGAAGAACACCGGUGGCGAAGGCGGCGCUCUGGACCGAGACUGACGCUGAGGCGCGAAAGCGUGGGGAGCAAACAGG
rnacentral:rRNA from 1 species